UGAAUAAGGAACGAGGAACGAGGAAUAAGUAACCAACUUCACAGAGCUAUGACGGCGUCCACCUGCAGCACCAGGCAAAAACGUUUGUCUUUGAUCGAAGAUAUUGAAGUAAUAUCGAAAGAACUGUUUGAAGCAAUGAGCUCAACGAAAGGUCAUCUGAGAUCUUACACCUGAGAUGCAGUGUCAUUGAUGGAGUUGCUCAAAGAAAAAGACAAUGAAAGAAACUGACUCUAAAACUUGAUCCUCAAUCCGGGGCUUGCACAAACUUAAUCGAGAACACCUGGUGGUGUGUCAAGCGUCAGCUACCUAGAACCCACACAAGACGGACUUCUUUCGACCUGCACUUCACAGAGUACAUGUAUAUCGGUGUUUGAGGAAGAAAGAAGAAAACCUGUUUGAGACGUUUCUGGCCGACAUCCAAUUCAGUUAGAAGACAUGAUAAAAGCAGAAAAGUUUAAAACUGUAAUCAUUAUGGUGUUCUAGGAUUUAGAUUCUGUCUAACUAUGCAAUAUUCCAACUCUUUUACCAAAGGCUAUCUAUGGUGUGUAAUAUCCAGCCUGUGACUGGUAUAUUUAAUCAACACCUUAUUAUACCACCACCUCGCCACCCUCUGUGCUGUUUUAGUCAUGGCUACUUUAGGUUGUUUUUAUUUUAUUUGUUGGUGUCCAUUUGAUUUCUGUGACUGUUUUAACUAAACACACUUGGGCACAUUAUCCUUUGAGUCAUCCUGAAGGUAUCCUCCCAUUUCUUAUACCUCCCAUUUCCUACACACCUUAUAACAACAUAGGUCAUGGUUGAGUGAACUGCUAAUCCUGUACCUUCUACCUAGUAUGCAAUAAUGGACUCACCUUCUAUUAACAAUUAAGACACAAGAACAGAAUAUAUAUUCACAUUUAUUUAUUAUAAAUUAUCUAUUUACUAUUUGAUAAUAGAGAAUCUGUGCAUGUAGCUGAUGUACUGUAAACUGGAAUAAUAUUGUUCAUGGCUUCAGUUGUUAACAAUUAAGACCGUUUAUGAAGUGAAACAAUACGCUUGGAUUUUUCAGUUUAAACACGUUAUUUUCCUGAUUUACAGUAUGCAUAUCAAUUUACAAAUGCAUACAUGUAUUAUGUGUGUAACAAAUGGGAUACAUGCAUCCUGAAAGUUUGCGUGUUUGCUUGUUUAAUCAAUUUUUAUUGCUGUGGCAGUCUGAGGUCAUAAAACCGGAGCCAAUUUGGCAAGUAUUCAUUGUGUGAACAGGGCUCUCGAACUUAAGAAUUUGUCUCCCACAGCAAAUUUUAAAAGAAUAGCCAUGGGUGAAACGGCUUACCGACAGCAAUUUUGAGUCUGCCUAUGGCAAUUAUUUUUAAAAGUGACAUUUGCAGUAUGGUAAAUAAACGUUUCAAACAUGCAAAUGUUAAUAUUGGUAGGUGUAUACAUUUUGCCAUUGUUCAGGAGCUUUACCGAUGGCACAGAAGUGCAGUCAGUGAUGCUCUCUACUUAGGGCAAUUUAUAUCUCAAUGGUAGCAUUUGCCGUCCAUAUAGUACGUAUGCAAAAAACCUAAAUAUUUUGUACCCCUUCUGCCCCCUGUACGCAUGGCAUAUGCAGUGGACAAGACCACCGCCCCCCCCACCCCAUGUAUGAAUACACAUCCAAAAGCAAUGAAAUUGUGAACUUCUUUUGUUUAAUUAUAAAUGUUUUUAUUAUUAUUAAUGAGGUUUGGCAUGUGUUGAUUUAGAACAUGAAAUGUGAUACCCAAAACAAAAGUUACUUAUUAUAUUACA